rnacentral:rRNA from 1 species
AAUAGAUACCCUGGUAGUCCACGCCGUAAACGAUGAGUGCUAAGUGUCAGAGGGUUUCCGCCCUUUAGUGCUGCAGCUAACGCAUUAAGCACUCCGCCUGGGGAGUACGGCCGCAAGGCUGAAACUCAAAGGAAUUGACGGGGGCCCGCACAAGCGGUGGAGCAUGUGGUUUAAUUCGAAGCAACGCGAAGAACCUUACCAGGUCUUGACAUCCUCUGACAACCCUAGAGAUAGGGCUUUCCCCUUCGGGGGACAGAGUGACAGGUGGUGCAUGGUUGUCGUCAGCUCGUGUCGUGAGAUGUUGGGUUAAGUCCCGCAACGAGCGCAACCCUUGAUCUUAGUUGCCAGCAUUCAGUUGGGCACUCUAAGGUGACUGCCGGUGACAAACCGGAGGAAGGUGGGGAUGACGUCAAAUCAUCAUGCCCCUUAUGACCUGGGCUACACACGUGCUACAAUGGAUGGUACAAAGGGCUGCAAACCUGCGAAGGUAAGCGAAUCCCAUAAAGCCAUUCUCAGUUCGGAUUGCG